rnacentral:rRNA from 1 species
CCUUUAGAUACCCGGGUAGUCCACGCCGUAAACGAUGUCUACUAGCUGUAGGGGUACUUGAGACCUUUGUAGCGCAGCUAACGCACUAAGUAGACCGCCUGGGGAGUACGGCCGCAAGGUUAAAACUCAAAUGAAUUGACGGGGGCCCGCACAAGCAGUGGAGCAUGUGGUUUAAUUCGAUGCAACGCGAAGAACCUUACCAGGCCUUGACAUCCUCGGAACUUUCUAGAAAUAGAUUGGUGCCUUCGGGAACCGAGUGGCAGGUGCUGCAUGGCCGCCGUCAG